UUAACAUAUUUGAUCAGCUACCUACACAUCCAUUCUAGUCUCGAGGAAAUGGCCUCUCAAAAACCUACUUCGACAAGCCACUGAACCCGAACCUAUUAAUGAACUUAAUAUAUCAGAUUUAUACCCGUAUUGUUUCUUGUUCACGCUAGCAAUAAAAACCACGCAAUGCAGUUGGUUUCCAUAUUGUCUGGGAGGUAUACUGAAUUGAUA